rnacentral:rRNA from 1 species
CAACCACUCACACCACAUCGAGAGGCCUGGAGCGUCAGCUCCUGCAAGCCCCGCAACGGCGUCGCCUCCCUCCGCGACGACAGCCUCGACACCUACUGGCAGCUGAGCCGAGCCGCCGUCGGUGGUGGAUUUUAUUUUUGUCAGCUUGUUGUGCUGUACGUGGAUUUCAAGCUGGACGAGAGCUACACGCCCAGCAAGAUCUCCAUCCGGGCCGGCGACGGCUUCCACAAUCUCAAGGAAAUUAAAACGGUGGACCUUUUGAAGCCAGUAGGAUGGGUUCAUAUAUCUUUAUCUGGCACCGAUCCCCGGCCACUGCUUGCAUAA